UACAGAGGGUGCGAGCGUUAAUCGGAAUUACUGGGCGUAAAGCGCACGCAGGCGGUCUGUCAAGUCGGAUGUGAAAUCCCCGGGCUCAACCUGGGAACUGCAUUCGAAACUGGCAGGCUAGAGUCUUGUAGAGGGGGGUAGAAUUCCAGGUGUAGCGGUGAAAUGCGUAGAGAUCUGGAGGAAUACCGGUGGCGAAGGCGGCCCCCUGGACAAAGACUGACGCUCAGGUGCGAAAGCGUGGGGAGCAAACAGG
rnacentral:rRNA from 1 species